AUGGAGGCAGCAGUGGGGAAUAUUGGGCAAUGGGCGCAAGCCUGACCCAGCCAUGCCGCGUGAGUGAUGAAGGCCUUCGGGUCGUAAAGCUCUGUGGAGAGGGAAGAAACCCGCUAUGGCUAAUAUCCAUGGCGAUUGACGGUACCUCUUUAGCAAGCACCGGCUAACUCCGUGCCAGCAGCCGCGGUAAUACGGAGGGUGCAAACGUUGCUCGGAAUCAUUGGGCGUAAAGCGCACGUAGGCGGCUCGCUAAGUCGGGUGUGAAAGCCCUGGGCUUAACCCAGGAAGUGCACUCGAAACUGGCGAACUUGAAUAUGGAAGAGGGUCGCGGAAUUCCCGGUGUAGAGGUGAAAUUCGUAGAUAUCGGGAGGAACACCAGUGGCGAAGGCGGCGACCUGGGCCAAUAUUGACGCUGAGGUGCGAAAGCGUGGGGAGCAAACAGGAUUAGAUACCCCGGUAGC
rnacentral:rRNA from 1 species